rnacentral:misc_RNA from 1 species
GAUGAAGAACUUAGCGAAAUGCGAUAAGUAGUGUGAAUUGCAGAAUUCAGUGAAUCAUCGAAUCUUUGAACGCACAUUGCGCCCUUUGGUAUUCCUUAGGGCAUGCCUGUUCGAGCGUCAUUUAAACCUUCAAGCUAAGCUUGGUGUUGGGUGACUGUCCGCUUCACUGCGGACUCGCCUCAAAAUUAUUGGCGGCCGGUACAUUGGCUUCGAGCGCAGCAGAAACGCGAACUCGGGCCCGUCGUAUUGGCUCCCAGAAGCUAUCUUCACAAUUUUGACCUCGGAUCAGGUAGGGAUACCCGCUGAACUUAAGCAUAUCAAUAAGCGGAGGA